rnacentral:rRNA from 1 species
UACGUAGGGCGCAAGCGUUAUCCGGAAUUAUUGGAGCGUAAAGAGCUCGUAGGCGGUUUGUCGCGUCUGCCGUGAAAGUCCGGGGCUCAACUCCGGAUCUGCGGUGGGUACGGGCAGACUAGAGUGAUGUAGGGGAGACUGGAAUUCCUGGUGUAGCGGUGAAAUGCGCAGAUAUCAGGAGGAACACCGAUGGCGAAGGCAGGUCUCUGGCAUUAACUG